CGAUACCCGGGGAAUUGAAACAUCUUAUUACCCGGAGGAAAAGAGAAAGAAAUUGAUUCUGUGAGUAGCGGUGAGCGAAAGCGGAACAGCCCAAACCCCUGUCUAUGUUACAGCAUUGACGCGCUGUAGCAGGGGUGUUGUAGGACUUACGUGUGCAGGUCAAUAUGCACGAAGAAGUUACAAAUAGUUGAGAUAGUCGAAUGGUUUUGGGAAAGCCAGCCAAAAGAGGGUGAAAGCCCCCGUAGACGAAAUUUCAAUUACUUCUGUAAGUAUCCUGAGUACCACGAACACGUGUAAUUUUGUGGGAAUCUGGGGAGACCACUCCCCAAGGCUAAAUACUACUUAGUGACCGAUAGUGAACAAGUACCGUGAGGGAAAGGUGAAAGUACCGCGGGAGCGGAGUG
rnacentral:rRNA from 1 species